UUCAAAAUACGACACAAGACACGGAUUGUCAAUGCCCGAACGUGUUUCCGGUUUGGUCGCGGUGCAGGUGUGGUGGCUUGACGCGGGGGUUUGCUGUCGUCAGCCUGCAGCAUCAGAAGAAGAAUAACAGGCUAAAAACAGACUAAUUCAUCCCGGCUGCUGCGCUUGUCUUGGAAGAUGGUGGCUAAACAGAGGAUCCGCAUGGCCAACGAGAAACACAGCAAGAACAUCACUCAGAGAGGAAACGUGGCCAAGACGCUGCGUGGUUUACAUCAUCACUGAAUCACUGACAGGAGAAGCUUCCCCCACAACAGCAGACAAACAUGUAGCAUGUCCAAACAGAUGAUAUCAUCGCGACGAUGACAGUCCAUCCACUGAUGAGCCACAGUGUGAUAAACUGCUAACCCUGCACGUUUCAGCGACCGCAGGAGGAGAAGUAUCCCGUGGGUCCCUGGCUGCUCGCCCUCUUUGUAUUUGUUGUGUGUGGAUCAGCCAUAUUUCAGAUAAUCCAGAGCAUUCGUAUGGGGAUGUGAUACAGAAGGUCAUUCUCUGUCCCCCUCUUCAUGCCUUCACUGAACCCGCCGCCUGCGCACACGCUACCCCACCCCCUCUCUCCAGAGGCCCAGAAACGGAUGCCAGACCUUGGAGACAGAAGCUUCCCCCGACCGACCGACCGACCGGCCGACCGCACCACCCACCCCUCCCUUCAGACAUCACCCUGCCCUCAGUCAGCGUUUACAGUGUUGCAGUCUGUGGUACUGACAGCUUUUCUAUGGACAGUCUAAAACCACGCCGGCUGGAGAACAUGUGUGUCUCAUUAUUUUCACUUGGCACCUGUGCGUACAUGUGUAGUGUGUAUGUGUGUGUGUGUAUGUGAGGGCGUAAGACCGAGCGGCCAGUGACUCCUGCUAACAAUGUGCCAUACCUGUCUAUUUUCACUGUUUGUCUGUGCUGUGUGAGAGGAAGGUUUUUUUCAAAUAAAUGUUGAGCAUUCA